UGUGGCAGCUCCUCCACCUCAUUAGCAGGUUCUUCUUCUUGUACGUGCAUUGGUAAGAAUCGUGCGUUCCAGCACUCGGAUGGUUCAUGCUUGUGCAGAACUGGUUUCAUCUUCUACAAUGAACUGGACUUCAAAAGCUCUACCUCUGACAGUGAAUUGGACUGCCAGCCUGAGGCAAACAAACGGUGUGCCACAGGCCAGGUUCGUCUGGCAGCAUCCAGAGAGUGUGUGUCACCUUCCCUCCACUCCUGUAAUAUCACCUGUGGACGACAUGGAGGAACUCUGGAUGUGGAGAUGGGCAUGUG